GGGAAAGUCGAGUGGCCCACGAGCCUGCAGAGACCCUCCGAGCGUCAGCGGAGGGAUCAGCGCCGGCGCGCACGAGGGGAUCAUGGCCCAGACACCCGCCUUCGACAAGCCCAAAGUAGAACUGCACGUCCACCUAGAUGGAGCCAUCAAGCCGGAAACCAUCUUAUACUAUGGCAGGAGGAGAGGGAUCACCCUCCCAGCUAACACAGCAGAGGGGCUGCAGAACGUCAUCGGCAUGGAAAAGCCGCUCUCCCUCCCGGGCUUCCUGGCCAAGUUUGAGUACUACAUGCCAGCUAUCGCGGGCUGCCGGGAGGCUAUCAAAAGGAUCGCCUAUGAGUUUGUAGAGAUGAAGGCCAAAGAGGGCGUGGUGUACGUGGAGGUGCGCUACAGCCCUCACCUGCUGGCCAACUCCAAAGUGGAGCCAAUCCCCUGGAACCAGGCUGAAGGGGACCUCACCCCAGACGAGGUGGUGGCCCUAGUGGGCCAGGGCCUGCGGGAGGGGGAGCGAGACUUCGGGGUCAAGGCCUGGUCCAUCCUGUGCUGCAUGCGCCACCAGCCCAACUGGUCCUCUGAGGUGGUGGAGCUGUGUAACAAGUACCAGCAGCAGACCGUGGUGGCCAUCGACCUGGCUGGAGACGAGACCAUCCAAGGAAGCAGCCUCUUCUCUGGACAUGUCCAGGCCUACGAGGAGGCUCUGAAGAGCGUCAUUCACCGUACUGUCCACGCCGGGGAAGUGGGCUCAGCCGAGGCUGUGGACAUAUUCAGGACAGAGCGGCUGGGACAUGGCUACCACACCCUGGAAGACCAGGCCCUUUAUGACAGGCUGCGGCAGGCAAACAUGCACUUCGAGGUAUGCCCCUGGUCCAGCUACCUCACUGGUGCCUGGAAGCCGGACACAGAGCAUGCAGUUGUUCGUCUCAGAAAUGACCAGGCUAACUACUCACUCAACACAGAUGACCCACUCAUCUUCAAGUCCACCCUGGACACUGAUUACCAGAUGACCAAACAGGACAUGGGCUUUACUGAAGAGGAGUUUAGGAGGCUGAACAUCAAUGCAGCCAACUCCAGUUUCCUCCCAGAAGAUGAGAAGAGGGAGCUUCUCGACCUCCUCUAUAAAGCCUAUGGGAUGACACCUUCAGCCUCUGCAGGGCAGCACCACUGAGGACGUCACCCCUACAAGCCUUCACCCUGCGGAGUCGCCACAACUCUGUGGGGCUGAGCAACAUUCUUAAAUUUAUUCCUUCCAAGAAGACCAUGAUCUCGAUGGUCAGUUACUGAUGCUCCUGAAGCCUGUGUGUCCAUUUCUGCACACAAGUAUACCUCGGCAUGGCUGUAUCACUUCUCUGAUUAUGUGCCCUGGACAGGGACCAGCGCCCUUGCACAUGGGCAUGGUUGAAUCUAAACCCCUGCUUCUGUGGCAACUUCUUGUACUGAAAAUCUUGUGCUCAAUAAAGCAGCGCAUGGCUGGUGUCAUGCAAAAAAAAAAAAAAAA